GGCAGCCUGUCUAGUGGUUAAGGCGCAUGACUGGGACCCCUGAGGUUGGUGGUUCGAGCCCCGGUCCAACUGCUGCAA